CCCAGACUCCUACGGGAGGCAGCAGUGGGGAAUAUUGCACAAUGGGGGAAACCCUGAUGCAGCAACGCCGCGUGAGUGAAGAAGUAUUUCGGUAUGUAAAGCUCUAUCAGCAGGGAAGAAGAUGACGGUACCUGAAUAAGAAGCCCCGACUAACUACGUGCCAGCAGCCGCGGUAAUACGUAGGGGGCAAGCGUUAUCCGGAUUUACUGGGUGUAAAGGGAGCGCAGACGGCAGUGCAAGUCUGGAGUGAAAGCCCGGGGCCCAACCCCGGAACUGCUCUGGAAACUGUGCGGCUAGAGUGCUGGAGGGGCAGGCGGAAUUCCUAGUGUAGCGGUGAAAUGCGUAGAUAUUAGGAGGAACACCGGCGGCGAAGGCGGCCUGCUGGACCGUGACUGACGUUGAGGCUCGAGAGCGUGGGGAGCAAACAGGAUUAGAUACCCUUGUACU
rnacentral:rRNA from 1 species